rnacentral:rRNA from 1 species
GACGAACGCUGGCGGCGUGCUUAACACAUGCAAGUCGAACGAAGAGCGACGGAAGCUUGCUUCUAUCAAUCUUAGUGGCGAACGGGUGAGUAACGCGUAAUCAACCUGCCCUUCAGAGGGGGACAACAGUUGGAAACGACUGCUAAUACCGCAUACGAUCUAACCUCGGCAUCGAGGAUAGAUGAAAGGUGGCCUCUACAUGUAAGCUAUCACUGAAGGAGGGGAUUGCGUCUGAUUAGCUAGUUGGAGGGGUAACGGCCCACCAAGGCGAUGAUCAGUAGCCGGUCUGAGAGGAUGAACGGCCACAUUGGGACUGAGACACGGCCCAGACUCCUACGGGAGGCAGCAGUGGGGAAUCUUCCGCAAUGGACGAAAGUCUGACGGAGCAACGCCGCGUGAGUGAUGACGGCCUUCGGGUUGUAAAGCUCUGUUAAUCGGGACGAAAGGCCUUCUUGCGAACAGUGAGAAGGAUUGACGGUACCGGAAUAGAAAGCCACGGCUAACUACGUG